rnacentral:rRNA from 1 species
GACGAACGCUGGCGGCGUGCUUAACACAUGCAAGUCGAACGGAAAGGCCCUGCUUUUGUGGGGUGCUCGAGUGGCGAACGGGUGAGUAACACGUGAGUAACCUGCCCUUGACUUUGGGAUAACUUCAGGAAACUGGGGCUAAUACCGGAUAGGAGCUCCUGCUGCAUGGUGGGGGUUGGAAAGUUUCGGCGGUUGGGGAUGGACUCGGGGCUUAUCAGCUUGUUGGUGGGGGAGUGGCUUACCCAGGCUUUGGCGGGUAGCCGGCCUGGGAGGGUGACCGGCCACAUUGGGACUGAGGUACGGCCCAGACUCCUACGGGAGGCAACGGUGGGGAAUAUUGCACAGUGGGCGGAAGCCUGAUGCAGCGACGCCGCGUGCGGGAUGACGGCCUUCGGGUUGUAAACCGCUUUCGCCUGUGACGAAGCGUGAGUGACGGUAAUGGGUAAAGAAGCACCGGCUAACUACGUG